UUCGGGUUAAGUCCCGCAACGAGCGCAACCCCGCCGUUGUUGCCGGCGGUUCGGCCGGGCACUCUAACGGGACUGCCCGCGAAAGCGGGAGGAAGGAGGGACGACGUCUGGUCAGCAUGGCCCUUACGGCCUGGGCGACACACGUGCUACAAUGCCCACUACAAAGCGAUGCCACCCGGCAACGGGGAGCUAAUCGCAAAAAGGUGGGCCCAGUUCGGAUUGGGGUCUGCAACCCGACCCCAUGAAGCCGGAAUCGCUAGUAAUCGCGGAUCAGCCAUGCCGCGGUGAAUACGUUCCCGGGCCUU
rnacentral:rRNA from 1 species